AUUAAACCAUGCAGUAUCUCAAGAUGUUCUAUGGUGAAAUAAAACCAAAAUUUGUCACUCCAGUCUCAUUGCAACUACAAGCGAUAUAUGUCCCAACUUGAUCGAGGAAGCCUGUGGUGCAUUGCGAACUAGAACUACCCAGGUUCCCUGCAAAACUGCUGCUAGAGUAGCGGCUGUCUGGUCGUCUAAAGCAUCUAUCAAUGCUCAGUCUGUGUCUGAAGAAGGGGACUGGAAGUGUUGCUCUUGCUCAAGUUUAGCUCAUGAAGGGCCUGGUGUUGAGACUGGUGGAUGCCAGUGUGGCUCUUGAUGAUCUGGGAAAGGGACACUCCAUGAUGAUUUUAUUUUAUUGUAAUGGUGCAUAGCCCACCUCACAUAUUUGUCCUCUACCAUUAUUUAAAUGUUAUUUUCAAAUGAAAUUUAAUAAUUUUGUUAUAUUUUAAAAUCCUCUAAUUUAUGAGAAUGAAUAAAAACAGUUAAUAGUUUAUUAAAAUCUUGAUGUAUGGAUGGGUGCACACUACUGAUUCCUCUUUGCUAAUUACCUUUUCCCUGGGUCCUUGAUCACUCUGGUUCAUGGCGUGGACGGUCACAUUCCAUGUGUCAGCAAACACAGAGAGAGGUGGGGCUUCAGGCUCCAUACUAAUGUGUUUUAGAGGAACUUGGACUAAACCAUGAGGUUCAGAUUUACGUUUACAUUUACAGCAUUUGGCAGACGCACUUAUCCAGAACGACCUACAGAAGUGCUUACGUCCCUAUCAUUGGAGACAUUAACUCUGGGUCACUAGGUUACAUACAUUAGAUACCAUGAGUCUAAAACUUUGUUCAUGUUUUUUUUUUUAUUUUAAAUUCAGAGGGAUAUUUUUUCUAUUCAAUUCAUUUAGUUUAUUUCUUUGAUUGUUUGUUUGCAGUAGUUUUGAUUGUUCUUUAGGUAAUUGUUUGUAUUGUGUUAUGUAUAAUGAAAUGGAUAUGUAUGGAUUUACCUUUUUGUUUCUCAUAGUGGUGGACGUAUUAUACAAGGUCUGUGUUGUUCAGCAAUAGCAACACUUUGUGCUCCUUAUCUUAGGGUUUGUUUCCUUUUUGGUUUUAUUUUUGUUUCUUACUUUGUUAACAGGGGACACAUUUAAUCAUUGAUGUGUUUUUGGCCUGGAUACAUUAUCUAAAGUUUUUGAUUCUUGUAUGGAACCUUGUUGGACGUGAAUUUUGUUAUGUAUAAGUCUGCCUAAUUUUGUUUGUCGAAAGGAAAAAUAAUUUUUUAAUCAUCUGUCCUGCUUGUUUUUGGCCUUGAUCAUCACAUUUAUCCUGAAAUCCUCAUGUUUCUACACCAGUGUGACUCUCCCUCAUUCUCUUUAAUUCUGCUUUUUAAGUGAUUCUUGAAUCAUGGUCUCUCUCAGUGGAGACACACCAACUUAAGCACAUAUACAGUAGUCAGUUCUGUUCAGCUCAGAUCUAGCUGUGUUCUCUUGUGUCUCUAAGCUGUCUUGUCUCCCAUGUAUAUCUCUUCUGUCACUCAGGUGUAGCCACCUCCUUAGCAGUCACUCUCCUGAUUCCACCCUCCAUUCAACUCCACAGGUCUACAAGAGAAACAGCAGAAUUUUAUGCAGUGUAGUUUUAUGCAGCUAACUGAACUGGCUUUACUGAAUUUUCAGACUAAAAAUACAUUUUGUUAUCUGUCUUAACCACCUACAUGCAUCUGUUUACUGUUUAUACGUUUAUAAAGCCUAAAUUAUGUCAAAAUGAGUGCAUGAAGAAAUGCAAAAUAUAUUGCUGAACCUUUUUCACCAGAACUUCCUGACGUAUCUUUUGACACCAUGCUGAUUUUUAAGCUACGUAAGAAACCACAGACUCCUAUACUGUACUUCUGCUUUUUUUAGUAUUUAGAUCCUACUCCCUGUUACGCGAAAGCUCUAACCAUGCAGUACCUCAACUCAUCUAACAGCUCGCUCAUCGGUCCUGUUGCAACUGAGAACCUGAUUUACAGUAUUGUGGUGGCAGUUUGCUUCAUACUGGGAGUCCCUGGUAAUAUUGCUGUAAUGGUGCGUCUGUCUGGAUGGCUGAAGAAAGGCAGUUUCACCCCGAGACUGAUGCUAAGCCUGGCCAUAUCAGAUCUACUCACUCUGAUUCCUCUGCCCGUUUCGAUUUGGGCUGCUCUGCAUGGCUGGGUGUUUGGCUUGGUCUUGUUUGUGUGAACCCCUUCCUGUACGCUUUCUCUGCUCGGGCUCUUCAACAGGGAACAGCUGGAACAAAUGAUCCUUAGUUCCUUGAACAUAUCAUGGUUUGAGUGAGCUGAUGCACAUCUCUGACAGCCUUUCUCAGACAUUGCAUUUAAAGGAACACCAUAUAAAAUUAUAUGAAUCAUUUUUCUUAUUCCUGCAGUCUAUUUUUAUAGUUUUUUUGCAUCUUCUAAUUCUUUUUUAUUACACCUAACAUAUUUUGCAGAUGAAUUUAACAGAUACUGUAUGACUUUUUAAAUGUCUACCUAAUACAUUUGUGUGUUCUUAAAGCAUAAUGGCUUGAGACAAAAAGUAAGUCUUAAAUUAGAACGUGAUAAAUGUUACUGAAUCCAAAAUGUGAUCAUCAAUAUUAGCAACAUUCAUUAUGAGUAUAGUUUUGUGUUUGUUAGAUUUUUUGUGUCUCUGCUUUACAUUGCUGAUUUUAUAUAUAGUUUUGGUUGAAACUAAAAGCUGUUUUCUGAACUUAAAAACACUUACAUUUUGAGCUUUAAACCAAAAUAAAGUUUUCUGAUAUUUAAAAAUGCUACUUCUGCUUGCACAUUUGUAAGACAACAUGACAGGAACUUGCAGCACCUUUACUGAGAGUUGUAACAUGUUACAAUUGUACAGGAAUUUGCUUCAGAGCAUAGAGUGUUAAGGCAGAAGACACACACACACUCCCCUACCUAGUAAAGGACAAAAUGCAACUGAUACAGAGCUGAAAAUGAUGUAAUAUUGUCUUUUUGUAAAUAAAAGAAUUAGAAUUAAA